GACGGAGGAUGCAAGCGUUAUCCGGAAUUAUUGGGCGUAAAGCGUCCGCAGGUUGCUGUUCAAGUCUGCUGUCAAAGCGCAGAGCUUAACUCUGUACAGGCGGUGGAAACUGAAGAGCUAGAGUAUGGUAGGGGUAGAGGGAAUUCCCGGUGUAGCGGUGAAAUGCGUAGAUAUCGGGAAGAACACCAGUGGCGAAAGCGCUCUACUGGGCCAUAACUGACACUGAGGGACGAAAGCUAGGGGAGCGAAAGGG
rnacentral:rRNA from 1 species